rnacentral:piRNA from 1 species
UGACAUGGAGAUCCCUUUCCUUCUUC